CUGGAUUAAUUUCUAGUCAAAUGUGUUAAAGUGAAUGAGAAUAGUUCCAAAUGAAAAGUUUUGUCUUAACUGCUUUGUCAUAACUGAAAAAAAAAAAAAAAACUUUUAGGUGUACAAAUACAACUGAUUUUUCACCAUUUACUUGCAAAGAGUGCCAAAAUGAAUAAAAAUCUAAUAUAUUGUUAAUUCAAAGUGUAUCUCCUAUUAAAAACCCUUAAACCUUCCUAAACUGGUCUCCAACUUCCAGGCUGGUGUGUUUACUGGUUUUAGUCAGGCUGCCCAGCUGGUGAGGAAACAACCUUAAGCUGGUUGAAGCAUUUUUUCUUUAGCUGGGUAAAAAAAAGAAAAGGUGAUCUAGUAUAUUUAGAAGUUUAGAUGUUUGUUUGCGUUUUCACCAUUAUUCAACAGUUGUAGUCCUCAAAGAUCAUAUGUCCAGACCAGUCCAGCAUGGGUUUGUGUAAUAGUGGAAUGGGAUGGGAUGGGGUGGGUGGGGUAUGUUACAGUGUCGUCAGUAAAAGUUUACCCACACGCUGGGAGGAACCAUUCCCCUCGCCAGCCGACCCACACAAGACACAUCUGAGCUCGAUUCUCCCUCUCCUCUGCACAACCUUUCCCUCAGAUAUGCUCAGCACAGAGCGGAUUCAACACACCACAUCAGGAACUAAACACGGACCUCGACAAGAGCACAUCACAGCGAUGGCCUCUCCUGUGCAGCUGUUCAUGAGCUUGCCUCAUCUGGACUAGGAGCGAAAUUCAUCUGAUACUCACACAGACAGACACACACACACACACACACACACACACACACACUACUAAAAGCAAAAACACAUCGCUUAGCCAUGUACAGCGUGGAAGACCUUCUCAUCUCUCAUGGAUACAAAGUCCCUCAAAGGAACAGCAACAAUGUCCCUGUCUCACAUUCGUCUUCCCCCCACCCUGCAACCUAUGAGAAAUGUCCGCCGAAGCGAAGCGACAGCCGGUGUGAAAUCGCUGAGAAGCGGAAAGGACACAGCGGCGUGAAUGGCUAUGAGGGGGACCAUGUUUACAGCAGUGGAGGCAUCAGACAAGCUCCUGCCAGGGGAUUCCCCAGUGACGCCGAGAACAGGGUCAGGAAGCAGAGGACACAAGACAUGGACAACGGUAACCUCGGAGAUGGACGUUUGCCAGAAGACAGCCUGACCACGGACAGUGGAAGCAUAUGACCCCAGUCGUGUGGAGAGAGUCUGAUUUUGGACACUGUCAAAGCAAACUCUGGGACCUUACUGGAAUACACAAUGUAAACAAACACAGAAGUUCAUAAGCAGGAAGAUGGACUUCAUGCCACAUAUUAAGACUAAUUUUCAGAACUUCUGUGGCCUGUUGAUGUAAUAGCUAAGUUGUUUAUCAAUGAGAUAUGAAUGUAUAAUGUAUAUCAAGUAAAGCUCAGACAUUACAGAAAUAGCUACAAAUCAGUCUGUACAGACUUAAUAAUUUUCUAAAGUUUCUCUGCACCAGCAAAUGUCAUUGUGCCAACAGCGACAAGAAAGACACAAAAGCUUGCACUUCUCAUUUUCUGCAGUAUUACCAAUGAGAGAAAGGAAAGAGGCCUUGAUGUAUUAAAGCAAUGAAAUGGACUGGUGAGGUAGCAGCUGAAUAAGUGACAUAACACUGUGCUUUUAAUCACAGAGAAAUAUUUUUGUAAGAAAUGUUAAAAAGAAAAGGAAAGUGUGAUUAUAAGUUUUAGAGGUGGGAGAAACCAUUUAUGUUACUGUGGUAGAACUGCAAUACAAAAUCAUAUUUUUUUGCAAAUGGAAUAUAGGCUGCUUUUACACAAAUGAUGCAGUUAAGAAGAAAGCUAAACUGAGGCAAAGAUUUAAGAAUAUUUUGUGUGAAAAUCUUGGUGUCCAGCAACUUUAAUCUUAAGUGCAGUGACUUCAAUAGUCAGUUUCCAUAGUUAUUGCUUUAAAAUGACUCCCUUCAUUCAAGAGUUGUUUUUUUUAAUAUAUAUAAUAUCUCAUAUGCAGUUUGAGCUUUUCAGAGUAGCAGUCAGAUAAUAUAUCAUCUCAUCACAAAAUGCAAUAAAAAAAGACAAAUGUAUUUAUUUUUAUCAAGCUAUCAACAAUCUGUACAGAUGAAAAUAUAUUCAAAAAAAGUGUUAUUUUACUUUGUGAGUUUGUUUGCUUGCUUACAAUCAAUAUGGAUAUAUCAUAUCUGAAUAUGUCUAUUAUCCUGUAUUACUCUUACAAUGAAUGAUUUUUUUUAUUGUGCCGUGUGGCGUGCUUUUUGUUGCACAAAUGUCAGAAAGUGUUACAUGUGUUUCUUCAUGCACAUACAAAGUAUUCUGCAUCUUAUGUCCAUAUCAAUUCUGAAAGCUUACUCAUAUUGUGAGUAUAUCUACCGGAUGUAGUGCUUAUUAACUAAUUUACCCUUGCAAUUGCUUAUUUACAUUCUGUUAUAACUCAACAUGGAAAGUUGAGGUGGACACAGUUAAUCAAUGUUAUAGCUAUCACAUAAUUUUAUAAAUGCAGUCCAAAGUGCACUAAAAUGAAUUUAGUAAUUAGCACAUCCAAAAACUGGCAAUAGUGGCCAAAAACUCCAGAAGAGUCAUUGCUUCCAUUUGCUCUGAUUAUAGUUAUCGUUAUGGAUAAAGAGUGCAAUACCAUAAUGUUAUAGUAAUAUUAUCAUCAAUAUUUUCCAAUAUUUUUAUAAUAAACUAUGAAUUAGUGCAGAUAGAUGUUCUAUAGUCAGUGGAUGGUUAGAAAAAAAUAUAGCAUAGACAUAGACAUUCAUCACACUUAUGUUUUGUAAGUUAGAAUCAAAUAAUUGCUGUAAGUAGUCCUUGAUUGUUUCUACCAUUUUGUACAAUUUUGUUUUUCAAAAACGGAUGAUUAUAUUGUUGCAUAUAACGUAUAUGGCAUUUAAUAUCUUUUUCUAUUUUCAUACAGAAACUGUACUUGAUUGUUUUGUAUUGGGUCGGAAUUGAUUUUCUUUCUGUGCAUGAUAUAAGAGAUGUAAACUGGGGUCUGGAAAAUGUUUGGCAUACAACUGCAUUUGGUACUACAUUAAAAAAUAUAUUCAUUAUAUUACACUGUGCACAUUUUUAUCCUGAUAAAAACAAUAUUUAAAUUCAAAACAAGCUAUUUUUUUUUAUUAUUUUACAGAAAGGGAAGUAUUUACUGUGCACCUCAGUACUUAUGUCUUUUAACUAUUGGGUGAAUGUGAAUGAAAUGUUUGAGAGGAAACUCCAUUGCAGAUUGCUCAUUAAUAAACUCCUUGCAUGGACUUUUGUUUUUAUUUUUAACUAUUGGAUAAUUUCAUGUGUAACAUGGAUGGUAGGAACAGUUCAGGAGCUUGUUUCCUCUUUAUGAAAACUCAUGCAUAAAACAAAACAGUACACAUGUUAGGAAUAGUAACUUCUUCGGAAACAAAUAUGAUGAUUCUCUCGUACAGUUGAAUCCUUGCUGGAAUAAACAUAAAUGAUAAACAAACACAUUUGUUGAACAAAUGCCGAGUAAUAAAGAAAACCUUUUUCUCAUGAUCCCCUCAUGAUGUUUUUUUUUAACAUUCUUUUCUGAAGAAUGUCUUAAAGGUUUGAAAUGGCAUGACGACAGUUUUUUUUUUUUUUGUCUUUUUUUUUUUAAUCACUUUAUAUGAAUCAAUAUUGCAUUUUUCUCAAUAGAUUUUCAAAGAAGGCAAGGUGGGGGAAAAAAAUUUAAAUUGCUAAAAUCCCAGGAAACAAAACUUGCAAAUCAGUUAAUUAAUUCAGAAGAAUUAUCUCAGAGUGUGGGAGUUUCCAAAACCAAAGGAGGCUGACCUUGGGACCCCAGGCACCUCAAUGCAUACAGUAUAUCACUAUGGAACCGCUCUACUAUUUUUAGCCAUCUAUAUUAUCAUUUGUAAAUCAUAACUGUUUUAAAACUUGUCGCUUCACAUAGGAUAUGGGGAAUGGAUCUCACAGGACUGUUUUACAGCCAUGAUAAUCAAAUUGGCAUCGGGCACAAAGAGGAUGUGACAGUGUGAAAUUAAAUUAGCAAAGCAUAAAGCUCUUUUUAUUUUACCCCUAGUUUGCCAACACUUAAACAGGUAGCAUAUAUGAUGUACAAAUGCUUGAAACCUUCUGAAGAUUCUGGACAGACUGUGUGAACUGAAUAGGCAUGUUUGGCUCAUUGUAAAUCAGCUCUCUCUCUCUGUCAGUCUGACUGCCUCCUUCUCAUGCCUCUCUGUGUUAUUUCAAAAGGUCAGGAGCAUAAAUUGUCAGUUGAUGAGUGUUUGUGGGUGUGUGUUUUUUGUCUCAAGUUGCGGAAAGAAAAGGUUAGUCUAAAGAAUUACCCUUCCGCGGACUGAACCAGAGCCAGUGGCCUUUUCCAAGACUGACCCUUAGUUGAGCAUUCAACUGGCUGCAAGCAACCAUGAGCUCAUUUCAAUUAGAUGGACACAGAAAAAAAGCCUUUUAUUGUCACUGUCUAACUAAAAUGUUUGAUCUCACCACAUAACCAACCCUUCAGAGCAAUCUCAGAUCACUCACACACCAUUGUCAAUUGAGG
ensembl:lncRNA